UAACAGCUGGGCUUGAUCCUAUUGCAUCCACUGUGGUUGAAGAUCUUAUCUGAUCUGUGCAUUUGAAAGGUGAAGAUGCACUUGGAAUAAAGCCUGGGAAGAUAACGUCAUGUGUGGUUGUCUCUCAUCAGCACAGCACCAUCCAAAGAGCUGUCGACAGGUUGAUAUUUCUUUCUGAGGGAAAGAUAGUCUGGGAAGGAAUGACUCAUGAGUUUACGUCGUCGGCAAAUCCGAUUGUCCGGGAGUUAGCUUCAGGAAGCUAGGACGGUCCAAUUAAAUACUAGUGCUUGAUGUAUACGAAAAGUAGUCAUGGUCUCGAGAUUUUCUAAAGAGGUGGGUCAAGUGGCUCGCGAACUGGCUGUGGUUGGGCCACCUGAUGUGCUCGCAUGUGCAACACAGUUAACUUACAUUGUAGGGGCUAACAGAAGUUGCAUUGCAUUGUGGACAUGACCAAGAUGGGUUGAUAAAAGUUAUACCUUCACCACAGGGCAUCAGGUUGGUUGUUUGUAUGAUAAUUCGAUUUCUAAUAGCAGAAUUGAGAUCGUCGUAUUGAAAAUUUAUUUCGAAUGUUUUGGCUAUUAAGAUUUGACUCCAGAAGUAGCAUUUUUGGACUGAACCAAGUAUACUGUAUUGAA